rnacentral:rRNA from 1 species
UAGCUAGUUGGUGAGGUAAAGGCUUACCAAGGCGACGAUCUGUAGCGGGUCUGAGAGGAUGAUCCGCCACACUGGAACUGAGACACGGUCCAGACUCCUACGGGAGGCAGCAGUGGGGAAUUUUGGACAAUGGGGGCAACCCUGAUCCAGCCAUGCCGCGUGAGUGAAGAAGGCCUUCGGGUUGUAAAGCUCUUUCGGCCGGGAAGAAAUCGCAUGGGCCAAUACCCUGUGUGGAUGACGGUACCGGAAUAAGAAGCACCGGCUAACUACGUGCCAGCAGCCGCGGUAAUACGUAGGGUGCGAGCGUUAAUCGGAAUUACUGGGCGUAAAGCGUGCGCAGGCGGUUUUGUAAGACAGGCGUGAAAUCCCCGGGCUUAACCUGGGAACUGCGUUUGUGACUGCAAGGCUAGAGUACGGCAGAGGGGGGUGGAAUUCCACGUGUAGCAGUGAAAUGCGUAGAGAUGUGGAGGAACACCAAUGGCGAAGGCAGCCCCCUGGGUCGAUACUGACGCUCAUGCACGAAAGCGUGGGUAGCAAACAGGAUUAGAUACCCUGGUAGUCCACGCCCUAAACUAUGUCAACUAGGUGUUGGGUGGGUAAAACCAUUUAGUACCGUAGCUAACGCGUGAAGUUGACCGCCUGGGGAGUACGGCCGCAAGGUUAAAACUCAAAGGAAUUGACGGGGACCCGCACAAGCGGUGGAUGAUGUGGAUUAAUUCGAUGCAACGCGAAAAACCUUACCUACCCUUGACAUGCCAGGAACUUGCCAGAGAUGGCUUGGUGCCCGAGAGGGAGCCUGGACACAGGUGCUGCAUGGCUGUCGUCAGCUCGUGUCGCGAGAUGUUGGGUUAAGUCCCGCAACGAGCGCAACCCUUGUCGUUAAUUGCCAUCAUUUAGUUGGGCACUUUAACGAGACUGCCGGUGACAAACCGGAGGAAGGUGGGGAUGACGUCAAGUCCUCAUGGCCCUUAUGGGUAGGGCUUCACACGUCAUACAAUGGUCGGUACAAAGGGUUGCCAAGCCGCGAGGCGGAGCCAAUCCCAGAAAGCCGAUCGUAGUCCGGAUUGCAGGCUGCAACUCGCCUGCAUGAAGUCGGAAUCGCUAGUAAUCGUGGAUCAGCAUGUCACGGUGAAUACGUUCCCGGGUCUUGUACACACCGCCCGUCACACCAUGGGAGCGGGUUCCGCCAGAAGUAGGUAGCCUAACCGCAAGGGGGGCGCUUACCACGGCGGGGUUCGUGACUGGGGUGAAGUCGAAACAAGGUAGCCGUAGGGGAACCUGCGGCUG